rnacentral:rRNA from 1 species
ACUCAAAUGAAUUGACGGGGGCCCGCACAAGCGGAGGAACAUGUGGUUUAAUUCGAUGAUACGCGAGGAACCUUACCCGGGCUUGAAAGUUAGCGACUGGUGUGGAAACAUGCCAUCCCUUCGGGGCGCGAAACUAGGUGCUGCAUGGUUGUCGUCAGCUCGUGCCGUGAGGUGUCGGCUUAAGUGCCAUAACGAGCGCAACCCUUGCCAUUAGUUACCAGCAGUUAGAUGGGGACUCUAAUGGGACUGCCACCGUAAGGUGUGAGGAAGGUGGGGAUGACGUCAAAUCAGCACGGCCCUUACGUCCGGGGCGACACACGUGUUACAAUGGGAAGUACAGAGGGUUGCUACACCGCGAGGUGAUGCUAAUCUCACAAAACUUUUCUCAGUUCGGAUCGGAGUCUGCAACUCGACUCCGUGAAGCUGGAUUCGCUAGUAAUCGCUCAUCAGCCAUGGAGCGGUGAAUACGUUCCCGGGCCUUGUACACACCGCCCGU